rnacentral:rRNA from 1 species
GGGUUGUGAGGUUAAGCGACUAAGCGUACACGGUGGAUGCCCUGGCAGUCAGAGGCGAUGAAGGACGUGCUAAUCUGCGAAAAGCGUCGGUAAGGUGAUAUGAACCGUUACAGCCGGCGAUGUCCGAAUGGGGAAACCCAGUGCAAUUCGUUGCACUAUCGUUAACUGAAUACAUAGGUUAACGAGGCGAACCGGGGGAACUGAAACAUCUAAGUACCCCGAGGAAAAGAAAUCAACCGAGAUUCCCCCAGUAGCGGCGAGCGAACGGGGAGCAGCCCAGAGUCUGAAUCAGCUUGUGUGUUAGUGGAACGGUCUGGAAAGUCCGACGGUACAGGGUGAUAGUCCCGUACACCAAAAUGCACAGGCUGUGAACUCGAAGAGUAGGGCGGGACACGUGGUAUCCUGUCUGAAUAUGGGGGGACCAUCCUCCAAGGCUAAAUACUCCUGACUGACCGAUAGUGAACCAGUACCGUGAGGGAAAGGCGAAAAGAACCCCGGCGAGGGGAGUGAAAAAGAACCUGAAACCGUGUACGUACAAGCAGUGGGAGCACCUUCGGGUGUGACUGCGUACCUUUUGUAUAAUGGGUCAGCGACUUAUAUUCUGUAGCAAGGUUAACCGUAUAGGGGAGCCGCAGGGAAACCGAGUCUUAACUGGGCGUUAAGUUGCAGGGUAUAGACCCGAAACCCGGUGAUCUAGCCAUGGGCAGGUUGAAGGUUGGGUAACACUAACUGGAGGACCGAACCGACUAAUGUUGAAAAAUUAGCGGAUGACUUGUGGCUGGGGGUGAAAGGCCAAUCAAACCGGGAGAUAGCUGGUUCUCCCCGAAAGCUAUUUAGGUAGCGCCUCGUGAACUCAUCUUCGGGGGUAGAGCACUGUUUCGGCUAGGGGGUCAUCCCGACUUACCAACCCGAUGCAAACUACGAAUACCGAAGAAUGUUAUCACGGGAGACACACGGCGGGUGCUAACGUCCGUCGUGAAGAGGGAAACAACCCAGACCGCCAGCUAAGGUCCCAAAGUCAUGGUUAAGUGGGAAACGAUGUGGGAAGGCACAGACAGCCAGGAUGUUGGCUUAGAAGCAGCCAUCAUUUAAAGAAAGCGUAAUAGCUCACUGGUCGAGUCGGCCUGCGCGGAAGAUGUAACGGGGCUAAACCAUGCACCGAAGCUGCGGCAGCGACACUAUGUGUUGUUGGGUAGGGGAGCGUUCUGUAAGCCUGCGAAGGUGACCUGUGAGGGUUGCUGGAGGUAUCAGAAGUGCGAAUGCUGACAUAAGUAACGAUAAAGCGGGUGAAAAGCCCGCUCGCCGGAAGACCAAGGGUUCCUGUCCAACGUUAAUCGGGGCAGGGUGAGUCGACCCCUAAGGCGAGGCCGAAAGGCGUAGUCGAUGGGAAACAGGUUAAUAUUCCUGUACUUGGUGUUACUGCGAAGGGGGGACGGAGAAGGCUAUGUUAGCCGGGCGACGGUUGUCCCGGUUUAAGCAUGUAGGCUGGUUGUCCAGGCAAAUCCGGAUAAUCAAGGCUGAGGUGUGAUGACGAGGCACUACGGUGCUGAAGUAACAAAUGCCCUGCUUCCAGGAAAAGCCUCUAAGCAUCAGGUAACAUUAAAUCGUACCCCAAACCGACACAGGUGGUCAGGUAGAGAAUACCAAGGCGCUUGAGAGAACUCGGGUGAAGGAACUAGGCAAAAUGGUGCCGUAACUUCGGGAGAAGGCACGCUGGUGUGUAGGUGAAGUCCCUGCGGAUGGAGCUGAGACCAGUCGAAGAUACCAGCUGGCUGCAACUGUUUAUUAAAAACACAGCACUGUGCAAACACGAAAGUGGACGUAUACGGUGUGACGCCUGCCCGGUGCCGGAAGGUUAAUUGAUGGGGUUAUCCGUAAGGAGAAGCUCUUGAUCGAAGCCCCGGUAAACGGCGGCCGUAACUAUAACGGUCCUAAGGUAGCGAAAUUCCUUGUCGGGUAAGUUCCGACCUGCACGAAUGGCGUAAUGAUGGCCAGGCUGUCUCCACCCGAGACUCAGUGAAAUUGAACUCGCUGUGAAGAUGCAGUGUACCCGCGGCAAGACGGAAAGACCCCGUGAACCUUUACUAUAGCUUGACACUGAACAUUGAGCCUUGAUGUGUAGGAUAGGUGGGAGGCUUUGAAGCGUGGACGCCAGUCUGCGUGGAGCCGACCUUGAAAUACCACCCUUUAAUGUUUGAUGUUCUAACGUUGGCCCCUUACCGGGGUUGCGGACAGUGUCUGGUGGGUAGUUUGACUGGGGCGGUCUCCUCCCAAAGCGUAACGGAGGAGCACGAAGGUUAGCUAAUCCUGGUCGGACAUCAGGAGGUUAGUGCAAUGGCAUAAGCUAGCUUGACUGCGAGCGUGACGGCGCGAGCAGGUGCGAAAGCAGGUCAUAGUGAUCCGGUGGUUCUGAAUGGAAGGGCCAUCGCUCAACGGAUAAAAGGUACUCCGGGGAUAACAGGCUGAUACCGCCCAAGAGUUCAUAUCGACGGCGGUGUUUGGCACCUCGAUGUCGGCUCAUCACAUCCUGGGGCUGAAGUAGGUCCCAAGGGUAUGGCUGUUCGCCAUUUAAAGUGGUACGCGAGCUGGGUUUAGAACGUCGUGAGACAGUUCGGUCCCUAUCUGCCGUGGGCGCUGGAGAAUUGAGGGGGGCUGCUCCUAGUACGAGAGGACCGGAGUGGACGCAUCACUGGUGUUCGGGUUGUCAUGCCAAUGGCACUGCCCGGUAGCUAAAUGCGGAAGAGAUAAGUGCUGAAAGCAUCUAAGCACGAAACUUGCCCCGAGAUGAGUUCUCCCUGAGACUUUAAGUCUCCUGAAGGAACGUUAAAGACGAUGACGUUGAUAGGCCGGGUGUGUAAGCGCAGCGAUGCGUUGAGCUAACCGGUACUAAUGAACCGUGAGGCUUAACCUUACAACGCCGAAG